GCCUGACUGGCUCAGUCGGUAGAGCACGCGACUCUUGAUCUUGGGGUGAUGAGUUUGCACCCCAUGUUGGGCA
rnacentral:tRNA from 1 species